CAGAGGGUGCGAGCGUUAAUCGGAAUUACUGGGCGUAAAGGGUGCGUAGGUGGUUUGUAAGUUAGAUGUGAAAUUACCUGGGCGUUAACCUGGGGACGUGCGUCUGAUACUGCGAAGCUAGAGUACUGUAGAGGGAAGUGGAAUUUCCGGUGUAGCAGUGAAAUGCGUAGAUAUCGGAAGGAACAUCAGUGGCGAAGGCGACUUCCUGGACAGAUACUGACACUGAGGCACGAAAGCGUGGGGGAGCAAACAGGAUU
rnacentral:rRNA from 1 species